rnacentral:lncRNA from 10 species
GUCAGAAACUGCAAGUGGCUUAGCUGGGUACUUCUGGCUGAGCCUCUCAGAGGCUGCAGUCUAGCAGUUGGCCAGGGCUGUGGUCAUCUGAAGGCUGGACUGGGGCUGGAGGAUCUGCUGCCAAGGUGGCACAUUCACAGGGCUAUUGGCAGGAGGCCUCAGUUCCUCACUAUGUGGAUUUCUCCACCCAGCCUCCCCUCACGUGAGUGAUCCAAGGGAGAGCAAACAAAGGGGAAGCUGUGGUGCCUUUUCUGACGAGGCUCUGCACUUCCAUACCAUCACUUCUCUUUAUUCUGGUCCUUAGAAUUGAGUCACAAAGUCAAGGGGAAUGGGAUUAGGUGCCACCUCUUGUAGGGAAGAGUAAGAAUUUGUAAGCAUAGUUCGUGAUUUUUUGUGGGAAGUAGGGAAGAGUGCUUCAGGCAGAAGUAACCACAGGUGCAAAGGCCCUGAGGUAGGAACACACAUAUUAGCAUAUUCAAAGGAGAGCAAGAGGCCAGGGUGGCUGCAGUUGGUGAGCAAGGGGGAGAGUAGGAGAGGAGGUCAGAGAGGAAAGGCAUGUGCAGGGCCAAGGGCACCAGGUUGUGCAGGGCCUUUAAGUAGGUGGGAAGCCUUUGAAUGGUUUUUGAGCUGAUGUGAUGAGCUUUGACAGUGAUGUGAUCUGAUUUCUUUUAAAAAAGAAAUUGGUGGCUGUUGCAGUAAGAAUAGCCCAAGGAGGAGCCAGGAUGGAUGGGAAGAGGCCAGUUAGGAGGCUGUGGUAACAACCCAGGAGUUAUGUCUGUAGCUUGUGUAUGAAGGUGAUGAAAGGGAUGAGACUUUGGAUAUAUCUUGAAGAUAGAGUCAAUGGGAUUUUCCAUGAACCACAUGUGGGUUUUGAUUCCAAGGUUUUGGAUCUGAGCAAGUGGAAGAAUGGUUCUGGCAUGAGCAAGAUGGGGAAUCCUAAGAGUGGGACAAGUUUGAGAGGAGGAGCUUCAGAGUCCAUUUGGGGACAUGUUAAUUUUGUCCAUUAGACAUCCGAGUAGAGAAGCUGAGUAGGCAAUUGAAUAUGGAGGCUUGGAGUUCAGGAAUUCGGAAGGAAUACUUUCCUGUGGUCUGUGAGUGACAUUACAAAAUUGAGGAGGCUGGGCUCCCUCUCUGGAAGAGUAACAAUUAGUCCUUUGGAGGGUUCUAAACACACAAAGCAAGGGAGGGGCUGGUGCCAACCAAGUGCAGUUUUCAGAUGUUUCUGGGGUGCAGAGCACAGCUAGUGCGGCUGGGAGGCAUGAGUUUCACCCAGAGCAGGGGGCUUCUGCUGCUCUGUUCCCAAAACAGUGCCCUAAGGAACACAUAUCUUUCACUUCAACAAGACAGGCCACGUAUUUCUUCCCAGGGCACUGCCAACCCUGAGAAGAAACUCAGGGCAAGUGGAUUGACCUGCAGAAUUCAGUGGCACCAUUUUUCAGAAUUCAUAAGAUGGCAGAAAGACAAUCAGCUAAUCAAGUCUGCCAACUUCUAGGUCUCUUUUCUCUUUUGGUCUCUUUCUAAUUCUGCCCCAAAUUAAUCUUAGCACCCAGAAGCACACAUUUCCCUGCUUCCAAUUUCUGAUGUUUUCUGAGCCCCAGCUGGGCUUGGUUUAUAGGAAUUUAUUCUUGAGCGCUCAGUCUUGGGUCCAUGUUUCAACACAUAUUUCCAGGACUCCCAAUGACUCCUCUGAACCAACCUGGGCCCCAUCCAGCUGUAUAACCCUGAAAAGGGUGUACCAAAGUCCCUGGGAUAUUUUCCUCCUCCCUAACCCCCAGGUCGGACUUAGACCCAGGGGCUUCAGAGACAUAUCAGGAGUGCAAGUAGAGGCUGACUAAUUUGGAAAGCUUGAAUUAAGGGUUUAGACUGGCUCCCUUAGCUGAUCCUAGUGCAAAGGCUAAUCUUUUGCAGAGUCAUUUUAUGGCGUGAGAUGGUGCUGUUGAUUUUGCACAGUUAAUAACAGCUCAGCCUGAGUGCUGCUAGCCUUAGCCAAGGGUGUAGAAUGCAAGCAGUUGUUUCAGCGAAAGUAAGAAUUUGCUGGGAGCACACUUGGCUUUUCUGAAGAGGCCUCUGCACUGCCAAGGGAGAAAGACCCCCCCUCAACAGUGGCCACAGCAUCUGGUCUGUGGCUAGAGGAGACCAACGUGUUGAUAUUAAGAGUUCUUUGGAAAAGUACUGUCUCUUCACUCAUUCACUGCUGACUGGAUCCCAAAGAAUGCACUGUCUCCCCAGCAUGCAGAAAGGGGAUGAAUCAAACUGAGUUUAGAUCCUGGCUUUGUCACUUACCAGCUGUGUGACCUGGGGCAAGUAAACAUCUUUUCUGUAUCUUAGUGUUCUCAUCUGUAAUGUGAGAAUAACCAGACCUACCUCGAAGGAUGUCUUGCUUGAAGAGUAAAUAUCUGGCACAUGGAGAGUGAUCAAUAAAUGGAUUUCUCCUUAACUACUACUCGUCUAGCUACACUCAUCUCAUCUUCCACCUGUGGCUCAGGAAGCUUGAGCUGAUGAAUCCAUGGAGACUGUAAAGAAAUAGCAGGGGAGGUCGAUCAGGGUGCUCACUGAGAGCAAACUGUGGCUCUGUUGAUUUCUGAUGCCCAGUUGGCAAUGGUUGGAGUUCCCAGCCUGCCAGCUCAGCUGUUUCUCCCUAUAGCGCAUCUCUCAGUUAUUUCUAGGAGUUCUUAAAGGUGUGCAUCGCAUCAUCUCAAAAACCAGCCCGUCCAACUUGUGUUAUCUGCCCUGUUGAUCUACCUUUGUUUUCCCAAGGUCUGCAGCCUCCAAAGCUUCUGAAAUGGGACUUGCUGCUGCUGGUAUCUUUAGAGGGGCAUGUGGUAUCCUGCCAAGGGUGAUUCCUUAGCCUGUCAGUGGCCCAGGGCUCAGGAUUCUACCUGCCUCACAUCUCCUGGAUCCAUCUGCAUGUCUUGGCCCAAUCUCCAUAUCCUCGGUUCUGGCCCCUCCACUACCUGGUUGCCACUGAUGAUUCCAAGGAUUCAGAUCAGCUCACAGUGCUCCAAAAAUAUAGCAAAGUGAAACAAAUGUGCAAAUAAAUGAUAAAAACAAAAGAAGAAAAAGAAAGAAAAGACUUAUUGUAUAUCCUACCUCCUUCAAACAGCUUGCUGUGAUGUGCAUGGUGGUGUGGGAACCUUCUGAUGUCAUACAUACAGGUUUCCUUCGCCUUCUGUCUUGAUUGGAAACAGCCUGAAGCCCUCACCAGAAGCCAGAGGCAGAUGCUGGUGCCAUGCUUCUUGUACAGUCUGCAGAACUGUGAGCCAAAUAAACCUCUUUUCUUUAUAAAUUACCCAGCCUCGGGUAUUCCUUUAUAGUAACACAAACACACUAAGACAAUACCAAUUCAGAAUUCAGGCCUUCUCAUCAACAAAUCUUUCCUCUUCCAACCACCUCAGCCAACACCUCCUACCAGCUCAC